rnacentral:rRNA from 1 species
GACGAACGCUGGCGGCGUGCUUAACACAUGCAAGUCGAACGGAAAGGCCCUGCUUUUGUGGGGUGCUCGAGUGGCGAACGGGUGAGUAACACGUGAGUAACCUGCCCUUGACUUUGGGAUAACUUCAGGAAACUGGGGCUAAUACCGGAUAGGAGCUCCUGCUGCAUGGUGGGGGUUGGAAAGUUUCGGCGGUUGGGGAUGGACUCGCGGCUUAUCAGCUUGUUGGUGGGGUAGUGGCUUACCAAGGCUUUGACGGGUAGCCGGCCUGAGAGGGUGACCGGCCACAUUGGGACUGAGAUACGGCCCAGACUCGUACGGGAGGCAGCAGUGGGAAAUAUUGCACAAUGGGCGGAGGCCUGAUGCAGCAACGCCGCGUGCGGGAUGACGGCCUUCGGGUUGUAAACCGCUUUCGCCUGUGACGAAGCGUGAGUGACGGUAAUGGGUAAAGAAGCACCGGCUAACUACGUG